CUUGAUUUCAAUAAUGCUGUAAGUUCUUGUUAAACAUGGCUGAAAUUAGACUUACAAGUGUAGAACAAGGCCAAACCAAGAUUCGAAAUGUCCCAAUUGCUGUAACACCAGAAGGUUUUUGGUGUUGUCCUUCUCCUGUUGGGUUUCAAAAGACCGUUAAAACUCAAAAUCCACUAAACAAAACCAAACCAUCUUCACCACCACCUAAGACUACUGUCCAAAAGAAACAAGCUCCAUUUAAUGAGAGAAAGCCGCCACCGCCAGCUCCAUUAAGACCUGUAGUUGUUUCUGAUGACCAGCGAAAUUGCAGCUCAGAUACUCCUAGUGUUAGUGCUUCUGUUGUUAAUGAGAGAGGAUCGAGGCCCAAACUCUAUCGCCACUUUCCUUGGCAAACUUUCUAUUUUGGGC
rnacentral:misc_RNA from 1 species